rnacentral:misc_RNA from 1 species
UUUCCGUAGGUGAACCUGCGGAAGGAUCAUUCAUAAUAAAGUGUUUUAUGGCACUUUUUAAAAAUCCAUAUCCACCUUGUGUGCAAUGUUAGAUCUCGUCAAUCUUGGCGAGAUUUUUAUACAUCAACUCAUUCCUUAACUAAUUUGUCUGAAAAAUAUUAUGAAUACUUAAUUCAAAAUACAACUUUCAACAACGGAUCUCUUGGCUCCC